CAGUUCCUUGAAAACCCCAGUAUUUCGGUGAUUUUCUUUUCAGUUCAAUAUUGAUUUUUGAAUUGGUAACCAUCUCUCCCAUCUCGCCUCCUUCCCUUAUAUGUAGCAUCUCACCGCCAUUUUUCUUCCCAUUCUCCAUAAACCCUAGCCACACUCCACCACCGCCACAACUCAAUUAUGUGCCUUAACAUCUAAAGAGCCGCCAAGGUCAGCUCUCUCUGUGUGUGUGUGUGUGUGCAUCCUCUAUUUCCAUCAUAAUACAAUGGUUAAAAACAAAAAACAAAAACCCAGAAUGAUACACAUAUUUUAAAUUAAUUGAAGAAUGAGAAUGUCAAGGUGUUUUGUGUUACGUGUUUGUGUGCGAGGUUAUCCAUGUAAGCCGAGAAUCUGCUUUUUCGUCCUUCUCCAUCCUGCUCUGCAACAGCUCUCUACCUUUUCUUCUUUGUGCAUUCUGUUUACUCGGAUUCACCAAGGUACCUUCUGAAUCUUCAUAUUUGGGAACACUUUUCUUUUCACAUACCCUUUGUCAGCAUCGCUACUAAAACCCUAUAUCUCCAUGUUUUGAAAUCAUUUUCACAAUAAAAAUGCUUCAGGUUAUGAAAUCGUUUUUUCUCUGAUUUUUUCGUGUUUCAGGAAGAUGAGUGGGGAUGUUUUUUAUGAUUUUGAUUAAACUAAAGUAGAGUUAUAUUACUUUGGAGCCCCUUUAUCACUCAGGUAAUAUAACAAAAGAAUGGGUUUGCUACAUACAAACGACAUUCUAACAUACUAUCACAUUCAAGUGGAUAAUAUGAUCCAUUAUCUUAAGGUAUGUUCCAUUUUAUUACUAAUGUGAUAUGUGAUAUUUAGUCGAAAUUACAUAAAUAAUUUGAUGGUUUCUUAAAAAACUAAAUGUUGGAAAUUCUAUGAUUUUUUGAAAAUUUUAGAUUUUUUCUACUGUUCUAACACUUUUAGCGAUUCUUUAUUUUCUAUUAAAUUGAUUCAUCAUCCAUAACCUGUCAUUUGUCUAUGGAGAUACAAAUCAGCUAUGGGUUUUUUUGUUGAUUCAAGCUGAGAUAAUAAUGGGCAAUUGCAAAUCUUUUGUACCUUCAACAAAGUAAGAGAUUGGUUCAUGAUUUGAUUAAAUUUAUUUUCAAUCAUUUGAAUAUUGAUUUAUUUAAAUCCCUGGUUCAUGAUUUUUUUUUUCAGUUUGCUUAAUUUCAUUUUAAGAUAUAGAUUAUGUAAUUUUUAGGUUUCCAAUUAUAAAAAGUCUUUUGAAAACUGGGUAAUAACCAAAGAAAUUCUUUUGUAUCAAUUUGGUUAUGUGUCUUCCAAGCUAGAUGAGUGCAUCAAAGGUUUUAAUGACAUAAAUUUGGAAUAAGUUUUCCCCACGAAGACCGAGAAGUAUAAGAGGACUUGAAUUGAGGUUUUAAUGGGCUCAAACUGGUAGUACAUCUUAUCUCGACUUAUUUCAUUUUUCUAACUUUCCAUCGAUCCUAAUUUUUUACUGGUGUAAAUAAUUUCCAUGUUUUAGUCAUAGUUCAAAUUCUUUUAUCCAUUUAUAUUUUAUUGUGGUUUAUAAUGGUUUUUGAAGGUAAAGACUUGAACAAAGAUUUAUACUUGAAGAUGAAGUUAUGAAUGGAGUAUCAAGCAACAAUAGGUCCCGAAAUGGACUAAAAUUCUAGAAGGGAAAAAAUGAAGUUAUGUAUACAAAGCAUGUCAAGAUAUUUCUAUCGGUGAUUUUUCUUUUCCUUAUUUUGUAAAAGCCUAUUAAUUUACAUGGGAAGAUUAUAAAUGUGAUUUUACAUGAAAAACAACCAAAUACCAUUUUAUUUUACUGAACUGACUGAUUUUUAUAUUGUACAUAAUUGGGAUUAUUACUCUAUUUUUAGGUAUUAUCUAGCAAUCUUCGUAUGUUUGCAUGGAAACAUGAUUUAAUCCUGCAGUUGUAUAAACAUUAAACAGUCUUUAGCAUGUUGCAAUUGAUAGAUUGGUUCUGGUUUGUUCUUAGCUUCUUUCAAGUGUCUUGCAUUCAUUUUCUUAAUAUUUACUUCAAUUUACUUAAGGACCAAAAGGGUUACGAGAAUAUUAGUUGAAGCAUUUAACCCUAGAUAAUAAGGAAAAAUGAAAGAAAUAACAACCUACUUCGAUUUAUACAAUAUAUAAAACUUUUAACUUAGGAGUAUAAAGACAGGAUGUAUGUAAGUUUAUGCGUGAUUGUAUUUCCAAUAUUUUAAUUAUUAAGACAUUUUACAUUGAAUAAAUUUAUCCAAUUAUAGCAAUGAAUAUUAUUUGUAUCUUGAUGACAUUAAUACAGUUGUAUAGGUGUUAAAUGUCAUAGGAAAGGAAAUGGUCUUGGUGGAAGAUGAGAAGGUGUUAAAGAGAAGACACAUUCAUCGCAAACACAAAAGGAAAUGGUCUUGGAUAUUUGGAAUUGAUCAAAUUGUUGGUAUAAAGGACAGGAAAGCAACAAACUUCGAACAUGAUCUGUGAUAAUUGGAAUUAAGAUACUUUCAACAAAAUAAAAUUCUCUUUUGUUGACUUUAAUUGUAUUAAAGUUCAUAAUUGAAUAAAGUUUUAAAUAUGUUGGUUGUAUUGAUUUAAUGGUUAAAAUUUUCAAUUUUUUAGGAAAUUGUGUGGAGUAAAACCAAUAAUUUAUUGUUUGAUGAACUUAUCGUAAAUAGGUUGCCAUAACAUUAGGAUUUCAUUAUCACAUUCAUAGUAGAAAAUCACGUAAAGAAAAUCAUAUUUUAAUAUAUUCACUGUUGAUACAGGAUCUAUUUAUUAUGUUGC
rnacentral:lncRNA from 1 species